UCCAACACAAACCUCCAUGUGUCUGAGGACAGCAGAGACGAUCAGCUGGAUCCUGAUGAUCCAGAGAGGCUGAAGCAGCAGCAGCAGCUUGAGUGCAGAGAGAAUCUGACUGGGACGAGUCACUGGCAGGACUUCACACCCAAAGUGCUGACUGAGUCUGCAAACAUUUCAUACAGGUUCAGCUGUCCUGGUCCAGGUGUGUUCAGGUGUACUUUGACUGGACUGGUGUUUGGUAC